CCAUCAUAAGAGGUCUAGCCUGCCCAGUGACUUCUGUUCAACGGCCGCGGUAUCCUAACCGUGCGAAGGUAGCGUAAUCACUUGUUUCCUAAAUAGAGACCAGUAUGAAAGGCAUCACGAGGACUAAACUGUCUCCUUUCUCUAAUCAGUGAACCUAAUCUCCCCGUGAAGAAGCGGGGAUUUUUUUAUAAGACGAGAAGACCCUAUGGAGCUUAAAACAUCACACACCUGUCACUCUAUUUAAAAUACCCCGAUAUUCCCUCCCCCGUGACACACUGACUAUAUGUUUUUGGUUGGGGUGACCGCGGAGAAAAAUUUAUCCUCCACAAUGAAAGGGAUCUUCCCUGAACAGUAAGCUACAACUUUAUGUACCGGUAAACUGACAUCCAUUGACCCAAUAUAUUGAUUAACGAACCAAGUUACCCUAGGGAUAACAGCGCAAUCCACUUUGAGAGCCCCUAUCGACAAGUGGGCUUACGACCUCGAUGUUGGAUCGGGGUAUCCUAGUGGUGCAGCCGCUACUAAAGGUUCGUUUGUUCAACGAUUA
rnacentral:rRNA from 1 species